rfam:Ovis aries breed Texel chromosome 5, whole genome shotgun sequence.
UCCCUGGUGGCUCAGAUGUUAAAGCGUCUGUCUACAAUGCAGGAGACCCUGGUUCAAUCCCUGGGUCGGGGAG